rnacentral:misc_RNA from 1 species
GAUGAAGAACGUAGCGAAAUGCGAUACUUGGUGUGAAUUGCAGAAUCCCGUGAACCAUCGAGUCUUUGAACGCAAGUUGCGCCCGAAGCCAUUAGGCCGAGGGCACGUCUGCCUGGGCGUCACACGUCGUUGCCCCCCCCAACCCCCUCGGGAGUUGGAUGGGACGGAUGAUGGCCUCCCGUGUGCUCAGUCACGCGGUUGGCAUAAAUACCAAGUCCUCGGCGACCAACGCCACGACAAUCGGUGGUUGUCAAACCUCGGUUUCCUGUCGUGCGCGCGUGUUGAUCGAGUGCUUUCUUAAACAAUGCGUGUCGAUCCGUCGAUGCUUUCAACGCGACCCCAGGUCAGGCGGGGUUACCCGCUGAAUUUAAGCAUAUCAAUAAGCGAGA